UAGCUGCGAUACGUGAUGUGAAUUGCAGAAUUCGUGAAUCAUCGAAUCUUUGAACGCAUACUGCGCUUUUGGGUGACCAGAAGCAUGUCUGCUUGAGUGUCAUUUAUACAUCUUCACCUAAAAAAAUUUUCCUUCUUCCCCGGAAGCUGGAGCGACUUUUCUAAGGUGGAUCUGCAAGUCUUUCUUUGCCUCUGGGUAAAACAAAGUCUUGUGAAAGCUAUUGGAAACAAAAAAAAAAAAUUAAUAAGAGAGAAUGGUUCCCUUCUCCCUCUAUUUUUUUCCCUUUCCUCUCAUGUAAUGAGGUAGAAUUUUACAACAUUACAGCUACGAGUUAGGAUAGAGAAGCUCAUAAAAAAAGAGGUUGGGUUACCUUCCCCCUUUUUCAAUAUUUGACCUCAAGUCAGACAAGACUACCCGCUGAACUUAAGC
rnacentral:misc_RNA from 1 species